CCUAUGGGUGGCAGCAGUGAGGAAUAUUGGUCAAUGGGCGCGAGCCUGAACCAGCCAAGUCGCGUGAGGGAGGACGGCCCUACGGGUUGUAAACCUCUUUUGCCGGGGAGCAACGGGCGUCACGUGUGGCGCCACUGAGAGUACCCGGAGAAAAAGCAUCGGCUAACUCCGUGCCAGCAGCCGCGGUAAUACGGAGGAUGCGAGCGUUAUCCGGAUUUAUUGGGUUUAAAGGGUGCGUAGGCGGUUCGAUAAGUUAGAGGUGAAAUCCCGGGGCUCAACUCCGGCACUGCCUCUGAUACUGUCGGGCUAGAGUUUAGUUGCGGUAGGCGGAAUGUAUGGUGUAGCGGUGAAAUGCAUAGAGAUCAUACAGAACACCGAUUGCGAAGGCAGCUUACCAAACUACGACUGACGUUGAGGCACGAAAGCGUGGGGAGCAAACAGGAUUAGAUACCCUAGUAGUC
rnacentral:rRNA from 1 species